UACGGGGGGGGCUAGCGUUGUUCGGAAUUACUGGGCGUAAAGGGCGCGUAGGCGGUCUGCUAAGUUGGAUGUGAAAACUCUGGGCUUAACCCAGAGCCUGCAUUUAAUACUGACAGGCUAGAGUUCUGGAGGGGAUAGCGGAAUUCCUGGUGUAGCGGUGAAAUGCGUAGAUAUCGUAAGGAAGACCAGUGGCGAAGGCGGGUCUCUGGACAGUUCCUGACGCUGAGGCACGAAGGUCAGGGGAGCAAACGGG
rnacentral:rRNA from 1 species